ACCCCCACUCACCCACUCCCACUCCCCUCGGUCUCCCAGAUCCACCCUCGCGCUUGGUCGCGCCGCCCUCCUUCCCGAGCCGCGCCUUCAUCCUCUCCUCUCCCGCAAACCCAACCCCGGCCCCGCCGCCGAUCUCCACUCCACCAACCCUAGCCCCAACCCCACCGGUGACUUCCUACCCCACUCCUCGACUGCCCAGCGACAUCCUCUACGUCAUACCCGCCGGUGACCUCCGCCUUCGACUCCACCUUCUCCUUCUCUCCAUGCCAAAACCCUAGAUCAAUGCCAUGGCCACCUCGCAGGUGGCGCGCGCAGGAGGAGCCCGUUGAUGGCGACACCGGUUAGAUCUGGUCGUCUGGUCAAGAAGGACGCCAUCGACAAGCCUGAUGCCAUGGCGACCUCGCACACAGCACAGGAGGAAGCCAGACAUGGCGACAACCGUCAGCCUUUCAGACCUCGACGACUUCUGCCCACGAUGGAGGACUGGGGUGUGAUUUUUGCAGGCCUUGGACAAGAUCAGGUUCGAGAGCCUCACGGACAAGAGUAAGCUCGAUGCACAGCCUGACCUCUUCAUCCACAUCAUCCCCGACAAGGCGACCACCACGCUCACGAUCGUCAACAGCGGCAUUGGCAUGACCAAGUCCGACCUCGUCAACAACCUCGGGACCAUCGCGCAUAAGCUAAACUCUGUUGUUUAUGUCUGCCCUGCAUAAGCUAAACUGUAUGUUGUCCUUCAUUCAUGUUUCAUUGUGAGCUCCAGGACGAAGAUGUUGGGAGAAACAUAGAGUUCUAGCUUAUUGGAGCUAGUUAUACUUAGAUAGCUAGUUUUUUUAUUUUUUAGUUGUGUUACCUGAUGUGAACUAGUUCUGAUGUGAACCAUGUUUGGCUGCAAUGUGCCAAGUUUGGCUCUGUUUGAUUGUAUUCAUGAUGUGAACUAUGUUUUCAUGAUAUUUUGUUGUGCUUUGUUUGAAGCAUUGUGUAAAUAUUGGUUAUUUAUUUAUUGGAUCAUUAUGAGGAAUAUAACCCUAACAACUGGGACCUACUUAUCAGAACCUAACAAUUGGGACCCAUUAUGCUAGUGGACCCUUCUCUUCAAAAAAAAUCUGAAACUCUGGAGCCCCAAAGCCCACGUCAUAGCAAAAUAAAGGGCUGAAUUGUUGGGCUUGGCCCAUGUGGCUAACCAAGAUUAUCAGGAAAACAAAUAAAAAAUAAGUUGAUUUAUUGGGCUUGGCCAAAUAAUAAAAGGGCUGAAUUAAUUGGCUUGGCCCAUGUA